CCUACGGGUGGCAGCAGUGGGGAAUAUUGCACAAUGGGGGCAACUCUGAUGCAGCAACGCCGCGUGAGUGAAGAAGGAUUUCGGUAUGUAAAGUUCUAUUAGCAGGGAAGAAGAAAGACGGUAACCGAUUAAGUACCCCCGGCUAACUACGUGGCAGCAGCCGCCGGAAAACGUAGGGGGGAAGCGUUAUCCGGAUUUAACGGGGGUAAAGGGGGGGUAGACGGCUGUGCAAGGCCGAAGUGAAAGCCCCUGGCUCAACCCCGGAACUGCUUGUGAAACUGUUUUGCUUGAGUACUGGAGAGGUAGGCGGAAUUCCUAGUGUAGCGGUGAAAUGCGUAGAUAUUAGGAGGAACACCAGUGGCGAAGGCAGACUGCUGGACAGAAACUGACGUUGAGGCUCGAAAGCGUGGGGAGCAAACAGGAUUAGAUACCCCAGUAGUC
rnacentral:rRNA from 1 species